GACGUAGGGUGCAAGCGUUGUCCGGAAUUAUUGGGCGUAAAGAGCUCGUAGGCGGUUUGUUGCGUCUGCUGUGAAAAUCCAGGGCUUAACCCUGGACCUGCAGUGGGUACGGGCAGACUAGAGUGCGGUAGGGGAGAUCGGAAUUCCUGGUGUAGCGGUGAAAUGCGUAGAGAUCAUGAGGAAGACCAGUGGCGAAGGCGGGUCUCUGGACAGUUCCUGACACUGAGACACGAAGGCCAGGGGAGCAAACGGG
rnacentral:rRNA from 1 species